CCUUAGAGUUUGAUCCUGGCUCAGGACGAACGCUGGCGGCAUGCCUAAUACAUGAAGUCGAACGAGUUCCCGUUGAUUGACGUGCUUGCACUGAUUUCAACAUUGGAACGAGUGGCGAACUGGUGAGUAACACGUGGAAAACCUGCCCAGAAGCAGGGGAUAACACUUGGAAACAGGUGCUAAUACCGUAUAACAACAAAAACCGCAUGGUUUUUGUUUGAAAGGUGGCUUCGGCUAUCACUUCUGGAUGGUUCCGCGGCGCAUUAGCUUGUUGGUGGGGUAACGGCUCACCAAGGCGAUGAUGCGUAGCCGACCUGAGAGGGUAAUCGGCCACAUUGGGACUGAGACACGGCCCAGACUCCUACGGGAGGCAGCAGUAGGGAAUCUUCCACAAUGGACGCAAGUCUGAUGGAGCAAUGCCGCGUGAGUGAAGAAGGGUUUCGGCUCGUAAAACUCUGUUGUUGAAGAAGAACGGGUGUCAGAGUAACUGUUGACAUCGUGACGGUAUUCAACCAGAAAGCCACGGCUAACUACGUGCCAGCAGCCGCGGUAAUACGUAGGUGGCAAGCGUUGUCCGGAUUUAUUGGGCGUAAAGCGAGCGCAGGCGGUUUCUUAAGUCUGAUGUGAAAGCCUUCGGCUUAACCGAAGAAGUGCAUCGGAAACUGGGGAACUUGAGUGCAGAAGAGGACAGUGGAACUCCAUGUGUAGCGGUGGAAUGCGUAGAUAUAUGGAAGAACACCAGUGGCGAAGGCGGCUGUCUAGUCUGCAACUGACGCUGAGGCUCGAAAGCAUGGGUAGCGAACAGGAUUAGAUACCCUGGUAGUCCAUGCCGUAAACGAUGAGUGCUAAGUGUUGGGAGGUUUCCGCCUCUCAGUGCUGCAGCUAACGCAUUAAGCACUCCGCCUGGGGAGUACGACCGCAAGGUUAAAACUCAAAGGAAUUGACGGGGG
rnacentral:rRNA from 1 species